GAUUUUUGAGCAUUUAUUCUAAAACAAAUUUAAAUAAAUAGGAAACAGUUUCCAAAAUUGCCCAAAAUUUUUGUAACACUUUUAUGAUACAUUUAGAAGCUGUGAAAAAUGUAAAAGAUAUUUUUCAAUUAGUCUUUAUAUUUUUCUUUGUUUUAUCCUCUUAAAUAAUCAUUAAUUGGAGAAUAAUUAUUAAGAAGUUAAAGUAAAUACCAAAAUUUUUGUAAAGUUAAUUUACAGUGUAAAUAAUCUGGGAAAAAUCCCAAAGGUGGUUUGUAUCUACUGGAAUACGAUUUUGUGUAUUUAAGUGUAUUUAAUCUUAGAAAAUAGGAGAAAAAUAGUAUACAGAAGAUAAAAAUCAUCAAAACUUUUAGGUAGCCUCCCAAUGUACUACAAGGUGUUCUGGUAUAUUUUCAUAAUUUUUGGAUGAGUAAAAAUAUUUUUUCCUGUUUUUAGUCCAUUAUAAAUACAAAAAUCGGAGAAAAAUAGGAAUACAUUAUGAAAAAUUCUGACAAUAUUUGUCUAAGUCUUCCACAGAGAGUAUAAGCUGCGAAAAUUGUUAGGUUCCCCUUUCAACUUCUCUAAAGUGGUUGUAUGAUUUAUUGAAGCCAAACAAAAAGAAAUUUCAAAAACAUGUUACAAAGGAACAAAAAUCGAUGAAAUUUAAUGUGAAGUCAUUAUUUAGCAUAGGGGUCAUCCACGAAUUUACCUAGGAUUUAUAGACCUCAGAAAGUAUUUUAUAUGAUUUAUUGCCCUAUUUUGUUGCAAUAAUUAUAAUAAUUCAUUAGAAAUGAAUUAUUUUCUGGAACUUUACAGAGCAUCUAAUUUUGUUGAUGGGAAUCUGGGAAAAAUCGGAUUUGGUCAGAAAAUGAUUUUAGAUAUUUAUUUGGAAACAAAUCCUUCAUGAACAUAUUUGAAAACUUUUAACAACAUACUUUGAUGAUCUAGCAUCUAAGCUUGAAGAUCAUCACAUUCAUGUUGGUUUAAAGAUCAUUCAUGAGUUUGAAAUGUUCAAAAAUCAUUUUUGAAAGAAAACUUAGAGUGCAUGUGGUGAUUUUCCACCAAAACUUGUAGAAAAAUGCAUUUUCAUGAUCUUGACUUAGGUUUAGGUCCUUGGAUUUCACCAUUAACAACAUGCAUGUUGUUUUUGGGUGAAAUCCUACCACCAUCAUCAUCAAAACCGUGAGUUUGUGUGUGUGUAUGUUUAUGUGUUCAUGAUCUUUCAUUAGAAUGGUGUAGAAGAACAAAGAAAUGCAAGAAAAUCCAUGAAAACUUGAAGGAAAAUGAAAGGAAAUCGUGUUCUACCUUAAUGAACACCAUUAGAUGAUGAAGAUUUUGAGUAUCUUGAGUGUUCUUGGACAUGUUGGCUGUAAAAUUUCGUGGUUCAUAGUGGGAGGAAGAGAGAAAAUAUGUGUGAGAGUGUGGGAGAGAAAUGAGAGAGAAUGAGGGAAGAUGGAGUGUGAGAGAGAAGAAGAAUCAUUUUGUGUUGGGAAGAGAGGUAUGGGGAGGGAGGUCCGAAUUUUCAAUGAGGAGAGAGACUCCCCACCUCUUCCAUUUACUUUAUAUAAAUUUUCCUCAAUUUUUAUAAUUUUUCCAAUUUUUUAUAAAGUGUGAAUUAAGCCAUGAUUUGUUUUUAUUAAAUUAUUGAUUUAACUUGUUAAUUAGGAAUAAAUGUUGAUAGUUUAAAAUUUAUUUUCAUUGAAUUCAUUUUCAUAAUAUGAUUAUUAUAAGAUAAUAUUAGAAGCUUCAUAAUUAUUUUAUAGAAUUUUUAAGGUUAAAGUUUAUAAAAGUGAGUUUUUAGGGCAUUUAGGGUUGUUAGGGUCUUAAGAUAUAAUAAAUAUUUGGAUAUCAAAAUAAAUUGAAUAUUUGAGACUUUGAAUUAUCUUAUGGUAUUAUAACUCUUUUGUAGUUAUAAAUAAUGUUUGUAAUUUAUUUUUUAUCGGUUUUAUUGGCAUUCUAUGUAGUGGUUCCGAGAUUCAAGUGAAAUUGAGGAAUCAAGUAUACUAGUCCUAGUCUUCAACUUUGACUUAAGUUUCUAUGUGAAUUUGACCUAAUUUCUACAACUAUCUAGGUCAAGUGCAUGAUGUGUGUAUAUGAUUCAUGAAAAGGUGUUCGAGUCAAGGAAUGACCCGAAUGUGGAUAGUCACUCCAGUUAAGUAGAUGUAGAAUUCACAUAUCAAUGUGAAAUCUAAGUACACUAUCCAUUGUUUCUAAUUGUUUCCAAGUUUCUAGUAUGUUAUAACUUAGCUUCUAGUUACUAAGUCUAGUACGUGUAGUGCCUACAUGUGCAACUAAGUCUAGUCAAAUCUAGAACCGACUCGAAUUUUUGACGGUUGUCACAGUCUCCCCCGGUUGAAAGAAUUUCGUCCCGAAAUUCAAUUCGUGAUGUACUCUAUUAGAACUCAGCCGAAUACAAUUGUAUAGAUGGAGAGGUGGUGACUUGAAUUUGAUUAUUUUGGGUUUAUUUCCUCAAACAAGAGCCCAAUUCUUUAGGUAUAAUCAAAUUAAUUUUGGUUACUUGAAUUUGAUUAUUUUGGGUUUAUUUCCUCAAACAAGAGCCCAAUUCUUUAGCUAUAAUCAAAUUAAUGUUUUCCUAAUUCGAGUUCUACAGUCUAGAUUGCGAGAAAUUAGGAUCAUGGAAAUCAUGAUCUAACCAUGGCGACCUAGUUGAAAAAAGAUCAUCUAGUUAGAUAUUAUCUGAAUUAAGAGAGCGGUAUAAGUUUUGCUGAAGCACCAACUGCAUUGAGCGUUAAAUCCGCAUUGAUCCUUAAGUUGCAUUCUAAUUUAGCACUAAGUGUAAAUUUGUCGCUUGAUAAAGAAGAGAUUAGGAACAAUUUGUUCACUUCCGGGUUGGCUAUUACAUUUGGAAAAGAUAUAUUCCGAAAUAAGAAGGCGUAGCACGAAUGAAAGGGAAGAGAUCGAGGGUAAGUUACUAAAAAUACGUACUAAGGGUAGGCAACGAAGUUUUGGUACAUCUCAAAUGUAAAGGCUAUUUUAAUUGUCGUCUACAAAAUGAAUUACAAAAUGAUUGAGGAUCUCUGAGGCUAUAAUUACUACUACGAUUACUCUUACAAUAAUAUAACUAUAUUCGAAGAGUAUAUAUAAUUAGAGAGUUAUUGUUUCUAAUGAAGGCGGUGAAAGUUUAUGAUAUUGUAAAUCACAUUGUGUAGAUAGCAUUUUAAGUGUUUAGAAGUGAUAAAAAUCUCACUGUUAUCAAAAUGUGUGUUUAGAAAUGAUAAUUAAUCUCACUAUUAUCAAAAUGUGUAAUAAUUCCAAAAUAAUGAAAAUACAUGUGUGGCGAUCAAACGAAGUAGUAAAAUAAUAUAAAGAUUAAUUAAGGUUUCAGGUUUAAGUCAUAAAUAAGGGAAUUUAUACAUAAAUAUUUUGAUUACUCCUUUAAAAGAAAAAAAAAGAAAUUGUCUAAUUGUUUAAGUCAGGACAAAUUCAAGCUUAUGAGUCAGAACAUUUAUGGAAACAAGGUUGAGAGUUUAGGAAAUCACUAAAAAUUACAAAGUAGAAUGCUAUAUUUAAGAAAGGUGUAAAAAUAUCGAUCAUUGAAAAUAGUGCAUUCUUAAUUUAGUGUUUCUACAAAAUCAAUCAUUCAGAGAAUAGAUAUUCGUAAAAUUCAAAACUUUUGAUGUAUUUAAAGAAAAGAAGAACAUAAGGAAACAUAUCCUUCACAUAUAAUGUUCGAAUACAGAAAAAUUAUAAGAAUAAAGGUAUUCAUCUUGUGUAUUACUUAUAACGAAAAUACAAUGAAACUUGCAUUUUAAAUCAAGUUUCCAAAUUUAGAACGAAAGAGCAAAUGUAUAUAAGGAUUACUUGUUUAUUGAGAUUUCAAAAUAAAAACAAGAUGUAUAUGAUAAAAGGCGUAACUGAAUAUAGCCAAGUUGACUAAAUCAAAGGUAUGCCUCAUGACUAUACACGUAUUAAUCGCUCAAAACGUAAGGGUAGACUUCAAGUCUUUAUGUGUACGAACAUGGUACCAAGAGAAGAAAAAUAGACAGAAACAAAGUGAGACAAUGUAUUAUGUUAAUAUUAUGGCGUGCGAGAUCUAAAAUCAGAAGGAGAGCAAGAAAUAAAGUUUAGGGGAAAGAAAAAGGAAGGUAGCGACGACAAUGAUUGUUAUUGUUAAAAUUAUAAGAUCAAUACCUAUAGGUAGAUUAAAACCAGGUUGAGAUAUAUUUCAAACUUCAAUAUUUGAUGUAUAUUGAUGAUUAAAUAGACAUGUGGGAGUUUUAAAGUGUUUUCUAAAAAUUUAUGAGUUAUCUAUUGAGUUAAACUCCAUUUGUAAAAAAGAAGAAACACUAAAACUUGUAAUUGAAAUUUCGACAGCUUUGACCUUUUUGACUGGAGUCCAACAAUGGUUACAAUGGAUAAGGUAAAGAAUUAACAUAUUUAGAUGAAUAAUUGUGCAUUGUCGAAAGUGCGCCACUGGAAAUUUAAAAGUGAACACUAAGUUGUGCAAUGCUUUAUAUUUUAAAAUCUUUGUAGAAUAUAAAACUAUAUUGAAGCAAAGUACACAAAUAAGGUUUGUUUUGAAUUAAAAGCGUAAGAUAUGUCUUAUAAACAUGUUUGAAGUAGACAUUUGCAUAAAUAUCAUGUUGUGUUUUCGAGAAAACACAUUAAAGUAAAUUACAAUGUCUAAAUGAGAAAGCGGUUAAAUGUGUCAAAGCAAAAGUGGUUUGGAAAAUCUGAGGACGCUUUCACAUAUAAUAGGACUUCAAUGUUAUAUGUUUAAGUUUUAUAGCAUAGAGUUUAAACACUUUUAUAAAGGAAAAUGUUUCUAAGUUUUUCGAAAACGUGUCAAAAUGGUAAGCAAUGUUUAAAAUGGUUUAUAUGCCCUUAAAAACAUAUCUAUCCAUUGAAAUGGAUUUGAAAUGAAAUCGAAAUAGCAAGGUUAAAACCAAUAAUGGUUAAAUUUAGUUUUGAAGAAAAGUGUUAAGUUAAAGCAAGUUGUCAAAAGAUUUUUAGCGAGAAUAUGGCUUACAUUGUUAAGAAAUGUCUACUAAGUUGAUUGAAGUGGUUAUAAAAUAUUUUAUCGAUGAUAAAUAAAACCGAUGAAGCGAAAUAACUUUUCAAUGGAAUAUUAAGAAGUAAGGAAUAAAUAUGUUAGUGUAGCUGAUCGUACCUAAAUACUAAGGCGAGUAUAAGGCGAGUACCGAUGUCUCUUUUUCCCCAAGAUAAAGGACAAGAAAAAUUGUUUGAAAAACGUUUUAUGGUUUCAAUGCGGUUUACAAACUUUUAUAGAGGUCAAAGGGACAUCAUAUGUUAAGUUUUAAGCUCAAGGUGGAAACAACAUAGAGCUAAAUCGUAGUAGAAAAAUAAGGUCUCACGUAUGGGUUAAACCUCCGUGUCUCCUCGUGAGUCGAAUCCAGAAUGCCCACCAAUGGUAUCCAAGUGAUUACUUAGUGGUGACUCAUCUACCUCCUUACGUGAUGCUCCAAUUAUCAUUCGUGUCGAUAUCGAAACGCUUUUUUUUCCUAGUAGUAACUCUAGUACGAAGAUGAUGAAGAGGUAUUGAGGAAAAAUUGGUAUAGGUUUCGACUUAUGAUUAUUACUAGUGUAUAUCUAGCUACUAACCUUACAUCUAAAGUCAAUAGCUACCAAGGAAUACUCAUUCUCAGUACUAAGUGCAUUGCUCAUAGAGUGGCUAGUGAUAUAACCUAUGUGGUUAACCUAGCACUUGAUAAGGGAUAAGAAUAUUUCUAAAUAAAGGCAUUGUUAUAAAAGUGCACUUAGUUUCUAAGUGUAUCUAGAUGAAUGCCUAUAAUAUGCAAUGCCCGUACACACACCGAAAAAUUUUGUUUUUCGAAAGUUUAAGUUGAAAAUUGUUUUGAACAUAAUUCUAGUAUAAUCGUUUCAAGCCUUGCAUUAAGUUUCCUUAAUUAAGCAUAGUUGGCCAGGCUAUACCUAAUUAAAGUCCAAUAAUGCAUACUCGAAUUAGCUAUACUAGUAGUAUGUUCGGUAUUUUAAAAACAUUUUGAAUUUUUUUUUGCUAUAGUUGUGGUUUUCCAAGGAAAACCGGUAUUCUCUAUAACCUUCGGCUCUGAUACCAUUUCCUGUCACACCCCGCUAAAGCGGAAACACGAGGCGUGGCAGCAUAAAGGGUUUCAUAGCAAAAGUUAAAAGACAACACCAACCAUAGUAUUUAAAAAUCAUUACAAAUUUAAAAUGGGUUUGAACAACUUUUAAAAGAAAUUACAAUGAAAAUUGGAAUACAACACAUGCGAAUGCUCCUAACAGUGAAGUGUCCCUAAGUGCCACUUACUCGAUGAUUCCUGAAAAAGCAUGUAAAACAAUCGUCAACUAUAAAAAUAGUUGGUGAGUACUCACAAGUUUAACAAAAUAAUAUUGGUUCACGAAUUGAAAUCAAAGUUUUGAUAAAAUUUUCCAAUAAUAAAAGUAUAUUGUUAAAAGGAGUAAAUAAGUUUGUAUAAAAAAAGUUCUUUGUCAUCAUGAGAGAUAAAGUGUGUUGCCCGAAUAAGAUGCAACAUUCAUAUUCUCAUGGAAGAUAAAGUUCGUUACUCAAACGAGUAAACACGUUUCAUUGCUAAAAUGAGCAAUCAAUUUCAUUGCUACAAGGAGCAAACAAUUUCAUUGCUAAAACAUGUAUAUAAGUUUUCAGUAAUAAAAGUUCGUUAUUGUAAUGAGAAACAACGUUCAUUGCUAUAAUGAGAAACAAAGUUGAUUGCUAUAAUUGAUAAACAAGUUUAUUGCUAUAACGAGAAACGAGUUUGUAUGUGUAUGAGCAAACAAUGAGUCUCAACCAAACCUAUGACUGAAGCCCUAUCAAGAUCUAUGCUUAUCGUUCCAUAGAUGAAUAUGGUAUCAUGCACUCCAGCAAUAGGGCGAGUGAGGAGUUGUCAAUUCCUAAUAGCGCUAUCCACAAUGACCAUUGGCUCAAAGAGUUAAUGGUUAGAGAAAAGGGAAGGGCCUUAGUACGAUAAGUUCUCAUAUUCCGUGUUGCAUAGACAUACAUAGAGAGACAUAGCAAUACAAUAGCAAUCGUGUUUGAUACAAAUCAAUUUAAAUACAACAUGCAAAUAUUAGUUUAUCUGGACAUGCUUUUCCACCCCAAAACAUAAAAACUGAAAAUAGGGGAGUGCGUGAAUACUCACAAUAUGAAAAAUAUAGCAACCAAGUUUAUACGAGUCAAAUAAAUACAACGAACAUAAAUAGUUUAGGACAUGCUUUUCCACCCCAAAACAUUUAAAAACCGAAAAUAGAGGAAGUCUUGAAUACUCACAAUAUGAAAAAUAUAGCAACCAAGUUUAUACGAGUCAAAUAAAUACGACGAAUACAAAUAGUUUAAGACAUGCUUUUCCACCCCAAAAUAUUAAAAAAACUGAAAAUAGGGGAGUGGUGAAUACUCACAAUAUGCAUUGAGAUGAUGCAAAUGAUGCAUUGAUCUACGCUCCACUGGUACCACUAUCGUUUUCCUACAACGAUGUUACACACUAAUGAGUCUCUAAUCGAAAUCUAACACUAGUAUACAUACUACUACAAUAGAAUUAUGCCAAUAUUGUGUCAAAAUUUAAUAUUGAUAGGUUACAAACAUUUUUCUGUGGAAAUUAAGUUUCAAAGAAUCAGUUGUUAUAUAACAAUUUAAGUGGAAAAUUUUCAUUAUUGAAAUGUUAAUAUUUAACAUUUUAGAGGUGUUCAAAUGAUUAAAUAUUCAAAACUAAAUCAAUUUAGUUCUAAAAUUUCCCAAACUUUGCAUUUCAGUUGUAAUUGAAGUCAAAGAUCUUAAGAUAAAUUUUCUUGACUUUUGAUUUGUCUAAUUAUUUUUCACCAUUUAAUUCCUUGAAUAAUCUUAAAAUCAUGGAAAAAUAGUAAAAAGUUAAUAAAAACUACCAAACUUCAGAUUUUGGUUCUAACUACAUUAAAAGACUUCCAGAUAUAUUGUCAUGGUUUAAAGAUAUGUAUAACCAAUUUUCUUAUAUUUAAUUCUCUAAAUAGAUACAAAUUCAUGAAAAAUAGAAAUGAGUUUCCAAAAUUACCCAAACUUUUUUUUUUACUGUUAUUAAACAUUAUUAAGCUGGGAAAAAUAUAAAAAUUUAUUUCUAAACUGUUUAACCAAAUUUUCUGAUUUUUGAGCAUUUAUUCUAAAACAAAUUUAAAUAAAUAGGAAACAGUUUCCAAAAUUGCCCAAAAUUUUUGUAACACUUUUAUGAUACAUUUAGAAGCUGUGAAAAAUGUAAAAGAUAUUUUUCAAUUAGUCUUUAUAUUUUUCUUUGUUUUAUCCUCUUAAAUAAUCAUUAAUUGGAGAAUAAUUAUUAAGAAGUUAAAGUAAAUACCAAAAUUUUUGUAAAGUUAAUUUACAGUGUAAAUAAUCUGGGAAAAAUCCCAAAGGUGGUUUGUAUCUACUGGAAUACGAUUUUGUGUAUUUAAGUGUAUUUAAUCUUAGAAAAUAGGAGAAAAAUAGUAUACAGAAGAUAAAAAUCAUCAAAACUUUUAGGUAGCCUCCCAAUGUACUACAAGGUGUUCUGGUAUAUUUUCAUAAUUUUUGGAUGAGUAAAAAUAUUUUUUCCUGUUUUUAGUCCAUUAUAAAUACAAAAAUCGGAGAAAAAUAGGAAUACAUUAUGAAAAAUUCUGACAAUAUUUGUCUAAGUCUUCCACAGAGAGUAUAAGCUGCGAAAAUUGUUAGGUUCCCCUUUCAACUUCUCUAAAGUGGUUGUAUGAUUUAUUGAAGCCAAACAAAAAGAAAUUUCAAAAACAUGUUACAAAGGAACAAAAAUCGAUGAAAUUUAAUGUGAAGUCAUUAUUUAGCAUAGGGGUCAUCCACGAAUUUACCUAGGAUUUAUAGACCUCAGAAAGUAUUUUAUAUGAUUUAUUGCCCUAUUUUGUUGCAAUAAUUAUAAUAAUUCAUUAGAAAUGAAUUAUUUUCUGGAACUUUACAGAGCAUCUAAUUUUGUUGAUGGGAAUCUGGGAAAAAUCGGAUUUGGUCAGAAAAUGAUUUUAGAUAUUUAUUUGGAAACAAAUCCUUCAUGAACAUAUUUGAAAACUUUUAACAACAUACUUUGAUGAUCUAGCAUCUAAGCUUGAAGAUCAUCACAUUCAUGUUGGUUUAAAGAUCAUUCAUGAGUUUGAAAUGUUCAAAAAUCAUUUUUGAAAGAAAACUUAGAGUGCAUGUGGUGAUUUUCCACCAAAACUUGUAGAAAAAUGCAUUUUCAUGAUCUUGACUUAGGUUUAGGUCCUUGGAUUUCACCAUUAACAACAUGCAUGUUGUUUUUGGGUGAAAUCCUACCACCAUCAUCAUCAAAACCGUGAGUUUGUGUGUGUGUAUGUUUAUGUGUUCAUGAUCUUUCAUUAGAAUGGUGU
rnacentral:lncRNA from 1 species